AAUAUGAGCAUUUGUUUUGAUCUUUGAAAUGAGGUAAGUUCUUCCAUGUGUGUCCAGAAUUUCCAAAAAUAUGGACAUAUUUACCUAUAUCUGCCUUCAGCUUUGCCUCAUAUCUGUUUACCAUUUCUCAUUUCUUUUAGGUAGUCUCUAUAAGUGGUAACCAAAUGACCUAAUUAGAAUGAACUUCUGCAAAGCCAUCAACAUUCAGGAAAUGCUAUAAAUAGAUUGAUUUGAUUGGUUAGCUGUUUAAUUAAAUAAUGUAACUGUUCUCUUAUUCAGCAGGCAUUCUUUGAACUGUUGUUACUUGAUACAUGCAGGACAACUGAAAAGAAAGACAAUGGCUACAUGGAUUAGAAACACCAAGAAACCAGGCAAGAGAUGUAGAUUUGCAACAACAUUGGGAAUAUAAAUUGAUAUCUUUCUAAUCUCUUUGAAGAAUCAUGGACUCAUUUAGACCCAUUUACAACAAACAGAAGUGACUGAUAGUUGGCUGGCUUGUCAUAGAGCAGAAAGACAGCAACACAAACAGCAAGAACAUAACAGCGUCCAGUAAUGCAGCGUGCCCACGUGUGAAAUGAAGCAGGAGCGGCGUAGUGCAGUGAGAAACAGGCGUGGACAGCCACAGGAAGGACGGGGCUUCAGGCCACGUUAAGGCAACAGAAGGAAGGAGAAAAUCUUAUCUCGCAGAACUAUACUAUAUAAACACCUGAAAAUGUCAAAGAUUUGUUUAAAGGGUACAACUUACCCUUUAGCUGAAAUGAAGUUGGGAGGACAGACUGCUGCUUUCAGUGAUGGUGCGUUAGGUAAUUUAGAAUCCCUUACCCUGCUGAGAAAAGUAGCAAAGCUGGUGGGGAAAACCUCUUUGAAAGCACAGAAUGGCUAAAAAUACAUUGAAAAAUUACCUACCAAAAUUUGAGACACAGAAAUUCAGAAAAGGGAUCCCUGUUUCUAGGGGGUUGUUUGCUGACUGCGGAUUAUAGAAAUGUACAGAUGGAAGGCUGGGUAGCGUCUCCAACAAACUCCCAAGGCUGGGUGAGCGACUGAAAUUGGAAGCCAGAGGUCAUUAAUAUAAUGAUAGAGGAUCCUGGUAAAACCUCCAGGCUUUUGAGUUGAGAUGCUGAGAGCUGAAGCUUACAAACAAGAGUAACAGGGGUAACACGGUCCUCGCAACGACUGCAUCCACACUUUCCAGGACCAGUCUGGUGGGGUCCUGCACCUCUAGGACCCCAGUCAGGAAUCCUCUCUGGAGGAAAAUAGCAUUAACCAGAUAUAGGACUGCAUCAAACGGUGUAGGUGACAAGACAGUGUAUAUUAGAACCCACUCAUAAUAAAGGAGCCAUAAAACUUCAAGUUUUAAUAUAAACCAAUACAGACUUCAAUAUAACUGUGAAUAUUGCGCUCAAAGAUGUGAAAUACAAGACUGAGAGUCUCAGCAGAGAAUUGUCAACUCUAAAAAGUAUAAUCAAGAUCAAGUUUUAAGUCUGAAACAUAAAAUAACUGAAAUUAAGAACUCAGUCUACAGUUUUAACAGCUGUUUAUUAAUACAUAGAUAAGAAUAGGCUAUAUAUGUGUCUAAAUAUGCCAGUAUCUCUGUGUGUAUAUAUAUAAUAUAUAUGUAUGUAUCUUUCUACAUAUAAAUAUAGAGAAGAAGGGAUGGAUGGGGAGAGAGACACAGAGAGAAGUACCAAAGACAGUAAUUACAUCUAGAAUAUAGUGAGAAAGUCCAAAAGGUAACCAGAAGAGGUGAAAGAUAAAAAUUGGAUGGUAGCAAUAUUUGAAGUUAUUAUGGUUGAAAAUUUUAUAAAACUGGAGGAAGUCAACCAAUCAUGGACUUAAAAAGGUCUACAUACAAUAAAUACAAUAAAUAUGACAUAAAUCACAUCUAGGCAUACCAUAAUAAAACCAGAAAAACAAAGACAAAAAUAAAAUGUUAAACUCAAGAAAAUAUACAUUUUUACAGUAACAAGGUUUUAGACAUCUACCUGGCUUCUUUUUUUGGUAACAUCUUUACUGAAAUGUGUUUAUAUACCAUGUAGUUUAUCUAUUUAAAGUGUGUAACUUAAUGAUUUUUUUUAGUAUAUUUACACAGUUUUGCAAUCAUCAACACAACUUCUAAACAUUUAUACCCCAUAUCCCUCAGCUGUCACCCCUAAUCCUUCUGUCCCCAAGUCCUAUGUAACCACUCAUCUACUUUCUGUCUGUAUCAUUUCCUGUUUUGGAAAUUUCACAUAAGUGGAAUUAUGUAAUCUGUGGUGUUCUCUGGCUUCUUUCACUUAGCAAAAUGUUUUAAGUUUCAUCUACAUUGUAUCAGAACUAUGAAGUUCUGAAUCCUUUGUAUGACUGAAUGAUAUUCUAUCUUGUUUAUCCAUUCAUCAUUUGAUGGGCAUUUGGAUUAUUUCUACAUUUUGGCUAUUAUGAAUAAUGCUGCUGUGAAUAUUUGUUUAUAAUUUGGGGGUGAACAUAUGUUUUCACGUAUCUUGGGUAAAUACGGAAGAAGUAAAAUCGCUGGGUCCAUGAUAACUGUAUGUUUAGCUUUUGGAGAAACUGCUCAAAUGUUUUCCAAAGUCGUGGUUCAAUUUUACAUUCUCAUCAUCAGUGUAUGAGGGUUCUGGCAACACUUCUUGUUCCCUAUUUUUUUUUAAUAUAGUCAUUCUAGUGGAUGUGAAAUAAGUUGUGAAAUGUCUCUUCUUAACAUGAUAAAUGGAAGUCAAAAGUCAAUGGAAUAAUAGAUUUAAAUAAAAUAAUGUCAACAUAGAAUUCAAUGUUUACUUCAACAACAAUGUGCUUAAAAAUUCAUUUGAAAGAGAAAAAAUUUUAAAAAUUGAUAUAAAUUAUUAUCAGCACAUCUGCACUAAGAGAAACAUUAAGCAUAUUCUUUUCAGAGAAGGAAAAUAUUCCCAGAUGAAAACUUAAAUGUGCAUGAGGGCUGGGUGUGGUGGCUCAUGCCUAUAAUCC